GACGAACGCUGGCGGCGUGCUUAACACAUGCAAGUCGAACGGAGCGAAUGAAAGCUUGCUUUUAUGAGCUUAGUGGCAAACGGGUGAGUAACACGUAGACAACCUGCCGACAGGAUGGGGACAACAUUCCGAAAGGAAUGCUAAUACCGAAUGAAGCGGAGGAGAGGCAUCUCUCCUCCAUGAAAGAUGGCCUCUGAAUAUGCUAUCACCUGUCGAUGGGUCUGCGUCUGAUUAGCUAGUUGGUGAGGUAACGGCUCACCAAGGCGACGAUCAGUAGCCGGUCUGAGAGGAUGAACGGCCACAUUGGGACUGAGACACGGCCCAGACUCCUACGGGAGGCAGCAGUGGGGAAUCUUCCGCAAUGGGCGCAAGCCUGACGGAGCAACGCCGCGUGAGUGAAGAAGGUCUU
rnacentral:rRNA from 1 species